CAAUUUCCAAUUCCCUUUUCACGUCAGCCCAUCUUCCUCUUUCUCUUCCUCUGUUUCAAAAAUAAAACAAGCUAUGUUAGUGUUUUUUUCAACAAAACUCAAAAAUAAACCACCAUUUAUUUACUAGAUCUAAGUUUCCAUUCGAGAAGUGACAGAAGAGAAAGUUGCUCAUUGCCACGUUGCGGUGCUAGUGAUCUAGUUUUCGACGCGACGCACGAACUUAAAUUUUACCGGAAUUAAAUACGGUACCGUAAUCGCGUGUUAGAGCUAACGUUAA
rnacentral:lncRNA from 1 species